UUCAAAGCAGUAGUAGUGCUCUUCCUUCUGCUUCCCAGUUUAUUCCUUCAACAUGGUUGUGGUGUGUCUAAAGUGUCGUCCUUUGGUUAGUAGUGAAUCUCUAUCCAAACAGUUAUGGACCUUUAAGAAAUGUUGAUAGGAAGUGAUAUAUAGAAUCAAGAAAUAUGGAGAAUAAAGAAAGAAGGGUCUACAAAGUCGUCCUGACAGGAGGUCCCUGCGGCGGAAAAAACCACUGGUCAAUCAAGGCUCUGCACUUUCUUUGAAAAUUUAGGAUGGAAGGUAUUCCGGGUUCCGGAGACAGCUACUGUACUUCUCAGCGGCGGCAUCAAAUUUUCAGACUUGUCAGAGGAGGAAGGUAAGUCUGUCAUUAUACUAUUUUGCAUGCUUUAGUGUUAUUUCUGCAACAGUCCAUUGUUAA